rnacentral:rRNA from 1 species
UUGAUCCUGCCGGACCGACUGCUAUUUGGGUGAGGUUAAGCCAUGCAAGUCGUAUGGGAUACCAAAAUUUCCAUGGCAUACUGCUCAAUAACACAUGAUCAACUUGCCCUGUAGAGAAAUAUAACCUCGGGAAACUGAGGAUAAUAUUUCAUAGUUGAAUUGGCUUGGAAAAGUUUUUCAAUAAAAAGAAUAAGAAAAAUGGUUCUUAUUUGCUAUAGGAUAGGAUCGUGGUCGAUUAUGGUUGUUGGUGAGAUAAAGGCUCACCAAGCCGAUAAUCGAUAGGGGCCGUGAGAGCGGGAGCCCCGAGAUGGGUACUGAGACAACGACCCAGGCCUUACGAGGCGCAGCAGGCGCGAGACCUCCGCAAUACACGAAAGUGUGACGGGGUUACCCAAAGUGUUCAAUCUUGAACUGUGGUAGGUGAGUAAUAUUCCCUACUAGAAAGGAGAGGGCAAGGCUGGUGCCAGCCGCCGCGGUAAAACCAGCUCUUCAAGUGGUCGGGAUAAUUAUUUGGCUUAAAGUGUCCGUAGCUGGUUUAGUAAGUUCCUGGUAAAAUCGGAUAGCUUAACUAUCUGUAUGCUAGGAAUACUGCUAUACUAGAGGGCGGGAGAAGUUUGAGGUACUACAAGGGUAGGGGUGAAAUCUUAUAAUCCUUGUAGGACCACCAGUGGCGAAGGCGUUAAACUGGAACGCGCCUGACAGUGAGGGACGAAAGCCAGGGGAGCGAACCGGAUUAGAUACCCGGGUAGUCCUGGCUGUAAACGAUGCAUACUAGGUGAUGGCACGGCCAUGAGCCGUGUCAGUGCCGUAAGGAAACCGUUAAGUGUGCCGCCUGGGAAGUACGGUCGCAAGGCUAAAACUUAAAGGAAUUGGCGGGGGAGCACCACAAGGGGUGAAGCCUGCGGUUCAAUUGGAGUCAACGCCGG